rnacentral:rRNA from 1 species
AUUGAACGCUGGCGGCAGGCCUAACACAUGCCAGUCGUAUGGUAACAGGAAACAGCUUGCUGUUUCGCUGACGAGUGGCGGACGGGUGAGUAAUGUCUGGGAAACUGCCUGAUGGAGGGGGAUAACUACUGGAAACGGUAGCUAAUACCGCAUAACGUCGCAAGACCAAAGAGGGGGACCUUCGGGCCUCUUGCCAUCAGAUGUGCCCAGAUGGGAUUAGCUAGUAGGUGGGGUAACGGCUCACCUAGGCGACGAUCCCUAGCUGGUCUGAGAGGAUGACCAGCCACACUGGAACUGAGACACGGUCCAGACUCCUACGGGAGGCAGCAGUGGGGAAUAUUGCACAAUGGGCGCAAGCCUGAUGCAGCCAUGCCGCGUGUAUGAAGAAGGCCUUCGGGUUGUAAAGUACUUUCAGCGGGGAGGAAGGGAGUAAAGUUAAUACCUUUGCUCAUUGACGUUACCCGCAGAAGAAGCACCGGCUAACUCCGUG